rnacentral:rRNA from 1 species
UUCGAUUCUGGCUCAGGAUGAACGCUAGCGACAGGCUUAACACAUGCAAGUCGAGGGGCAUCACGGGAGUAGCAAUACAACUGGUGGCGACCGGCGCACGGGUGAGUAACGCGUAUGCAACCUACCUAUCAGAGGGGAAUAACCCGGCGAAAGUCGGACUAAUACCGCAUAAAACAGGGGCACCGCAUGGUGAUAUUUGUUAAAGAAAUUCGCUGAUAGAUGGGCAUGCGUUCCAUUAGGUAGUUGGUGAGGUAACGGCUCACCAAGCCGACGAUGGAUAGGGGAACUGAGAGGUUGGUCCCCCACACUGGUACUGAGACACGGACCAGACUCCUACGGGAGGCAGCAGUGAGGAAUAUUGGUCAAUGGGCGGGAGCCUGAACCAGCCAAGUCGCGUGAAGGAAGAAGGAUCUAUGGUUCGUAAACUUCUUUUGCAGGGGAAUAAAGUGCAGGACGUGUCCUGUUUUGUAUGUACCCUGAGAAUAAGGAUCGGCUAACUCCGUGCCAGCCGCCGC